AGUCAACACCUUUCAAAAAAAGAUAAAAAAUCCCGCUAAGUCAAAUACCACAAAAUGACUUAGGCAAAAGUUAGGGCAUCCCGAUGCGGUCCAUGCAAAAUUAGGGAUAAAGAAAAACAAAAAAAAGAGGUCCUAAAAUCCUCAACAAAACAAAGCAAAAUAAGGUGACUUCCAUUUAAAGAAAAUCCAUCUUGAAUCCUCA
rnacentral:lncRNA from 1 species